UACGUAGGGGGCAAGCGUUGUCCGGAUUUAUUGGGCGUAAAGAGCGUGUAGGCGGCUUUACAGGUCCGUUGUGAAAACUCGAGGCUCAACCUGUGAAUGCCGCUGGAAACUGUCUGGCUAGAGUCCGGAAGGGGCGAGUGGAAUUCCUGGUGUAGCGGUGAAAUGCGCAGAUAUCAGGAGGAACACCUAUGGCGAAGGCAGCUCGCUGGGACGGUACUGACGCUGAGGCGCGAAAGCGUGGGGAGCGAACAGG
rnacentral:rRNA from 1 species